rnacentral:sRNA from 1 species
UGUAGACAUUUGUGCUGGGGCCUCCUGAGCUAAGGUGACCUGUGUCAGCUGAGACCUGAUAGGCAGCCACGUGUCGGGAUGUCUCUCACCUUCCUGCCAGGUCGCUGCCCCAGACUCAUCCUCACCUGCCUGGGGAAGUAGGGGUACCCCUCCCAUCCCUCCUCCCUGCACUGGCUUACAGCUGAUGCCCUGGGUCCUGAGUGUUCGUCUCCACUCUCCCAACAGCUUCACAGUGAGGUGGAGAAGCCCCUGAUGAACUUCCGUGAGAACUUCAAGAAAGACAUGAAGAAGUGCGACCACCACAUUGCCGACCUUCGCAAGCAGCUCGCCAGCCGCUAUGCCUCGGUGGAAAAGGCCCGGAAAGCCCUCACAGAGCGGCAGAGGGACCUGGAGAUGAAGACCCAGCAGCUGGAGAUCAAGCUGAGCAACAAGACAGAGGAGGACAUCAAGAAAGCGCGGAGGAAGUCUACACAGGCUGGAGACGACCUCAUGCGCUGUGUGGAUCUCUACAACCAGGCCCAGUCCAAGUGGUUUGAAGAGAUGGUGACCACCACACUGGAGCUAGAGCGGCUGGAGGUGGAGAGGGUAGAGAUGAUCCGGCAACACCUGUGCCAGUACACGCAGCUGCGGCAUGAAACAGACAUGUUCAACCAAAGUACAGUCGAGCCCGUGGAUCAGCUGCUUCGAAAAGUGGACCCGGCCAAAGACAGGGAGCUGUGGGUCAGAGAGCACAAGACGGGCAACAUCCGCCCUGUGGACAUGGAGAUCUAGAUGGGCCUGUGCAGCUUUGGGGGGUCCUACUGGGGAGGGGGGCUGGGCUCCCACCAUGGG